GUUAGAUCGAUCCGUCGGGUCAGUUGUUUUUCUGCUUCCAAUAGGACGGAUCGUCUCGAGGAUGGAGAAAAAUAAUUCGGACAAAUACAAGAUUGUAUGUUUCCAUUUGUGACAUCGAGGAUGGACCAACAAUAGACUCGUUUUUGUACAACGUACCCUUUGUCUAAAUUGAACCCCUUCAGGCCCCAUCCGACUGAGAUCUGGACUUUGUAGGGAAGAGAGGGUCCAGGACAAGCCGUGUCGGCCCGGGACACACCUUGGCGGUUUGCCUGUGUGCUGCGGCAUACAGAAAUGGGGGAAUCUUCUUCUUGGGACCCGCAAGGUCUUAUGGACAAGAAUAGUACCCCAUCGCCUGCUCCAACUAUAUACCACUAAUGCCAACAAAUAUCGCAUCCUCAGACCUUUUUGGCGGUGCUUAUUGCUUAUGCGGAGAAGAUCGAGGCAGGCUACCAACCAAAUACAACAAAUCAACAAACAAAUCAAACAAACAAACCAACCAAACCAAAUUUCUAAAAGGUUAAAGGCUAAUGCGAAAAACUAAUCACCUUUUAGGUGAGAGUUUUCUGUGGUUUGGUGUUUUGGGAUUUCCUAAAUGGAAAUUUCUGACACGGCACCGGUUUCUCCCCUGUAGAGUUUUAAUUUUAGGACGAUGUUACACUUUUUGUAAGUAAAAAAAAUUAACUACAAAGGCUACAUCUUGUAAUUGUUCCCCUGGUAGUGUGCCUCGAUUUUUUUUACGUACUUAAUAAACAUGUGCCUCCCGAAUAAUUA